GUCCCCAUCAGCACAUUAGUUCACUUAAAUGUUUCAUUGCUGGCAGUAGUCGCUUUACAUGCGUCUGUUUCUUUAAGAACUGUGGGACUGUUGCACCAUGGGAUUUAGUCAGGAAGUUGAAUGUGAUCAGGACAGCCUCACGUUUUGCGUUAUCUCUCCAUACUGUACACGUCAAUCUUCCACGCUCCAUGCCUUUGGUAGCAUUCUCGGUAUGUAAAAUAGACACCAACAUACUGUACCUAUAUAUUAAGUGUUGCCAGUAGGUUUGAUGUGCAUAUUGGGCUGAGGGUGUAGUGGGCUAGUUUGCCUCUGUUAUCAUGGGUUGUGCUACAUGUGCUAUAUUUGGAUAAACAAUGCGGGUUAUGUUACGUACAUUGUGUAGCAAUGCAUUACAUAUUUCCUUUGGUUUAGCUUGAAUGUUAGCUACUGUGUGUACAACCGCAUUGCAUUGGUAUGUAGUGAUAUUGUAUUUUUACAACUGCCAUUGUAUAAUAUUUGCAACUCUUUAAUAUGUAAGUAACAGGUAAUCUUGUUUCAUUUCCCAGUUUCACCCUUUCUAAUUCAAAUAAACGGAGUUAAGACGAUCCUACUCUCCAGUGUUUGAUGCGGGAAGGUGUUUAGCUGCUGGUCAGAUUGCACAGGGCUACGUGCAUGCAGGACAAGACAGUGAAACGAGAGCUUUCUAGCGGGCUGGACAACAAGGUUGAGCUGAUUGGAGUUACCGCCUCUAUGUUACAGCUAAGAGAGAAGGCUACAACUAGAGCAACGUUAACACAGGCAACCUCAUCUAUUGCCACGACAUGGAAGAUAAACCAGCAACCACGUUUGAGACCAGGUCCGCCGCCUCAUGCUCUGGGAAAAGCUCAAGCACUUCAUCAACAAGUAAAGCAGCAGCCAUUGCACGUGCUAAGGCAGAAGCAGCAAAAGCACGAGUUGCAUUCGCUGAAAAGGAAAUGCAAAUGAAGAUAGAGAGGGCCCGCUUAGAUGCGUCACUAGACAUAUUGAAAAUGGAAAAAGAAGCAGCAGCUGCCAUUGCCGAGGCAGAGGUCCUCGAGGCAGCCGCAGACACCGAUGGGGAAAAACGCAGCUGCAAAAUAGACCUCCUACUCAAGCCUAAAGAUCCUGAAGAGCGUACCUCCGAAUAUGUACUUCAACAUUCCGUAUCACACAGAAGCCUUCAGUCAAUGCCAGAAAUGGAACCCAUUAGUGAGUACGGGUUAAGAUAUGCAACUUCUAUGCCGCAUCAAGAUAGAGUCGUUCCAGCUCCACACAUUAACCAAGCGAAAGACGACAACACCCUCCUUCCAAGUAAUGUUCCUACACAACAGGCAGUGAAGGUUGAACAUAGAACAGACCAGACCAAUACUGCUAAAGGGAAAGAGAAUGAUGGUUGGAUCAGGAGAGGAGGAAUACAUGACCGCAACCAUCCACCAGCUCCCCACCACAGCACUCCAUUAGCAGGUGACCCACACGACAGUCAAGGCAUGACAAACUUUGUGAGGUUCUUUGCUCGCCGUGAACUUGUUAGCACUGGACUACUACAGUUCGACGAUCGUCCUGAAAGCUUCAGAGCCUGGCGAGCUUCAUUCCUCAAUGCAAUCAGAGGCCUAGACCUGUCAGCUGGGGAGGAGAUGGACCUCUUAGUCAAAUGGCUAGGACACGAGUCUGCUGGACAUGCAAGGCGGAUCAGGGCGGUUAAUGUAAACCACCCUGAAAGAGGUCUUGCAAUGGUGUGGGAAAGACUGGAGCAGUGUUAUGGAUCACCAGAGGCCGUAGAGAGUGCACUCUUCAAGAGACUCGACGCGUUCCCCACAAUACAUAAUAAAGAUCCUCAGAAGUUGAGAGAGCUGGGAGAUCUGUUGAUGGAGGUUCUUUCCGCCAAGGCUGAGGGAGAUCUGCCGGGCCUAGCCUUCCUGGAUACUUCCCGUGGCGUUAACCCCAUUGCACAAAAGUUACCCUAUAACCUGCAGGAGAAAUGGAUAAACGAAGGCACGCGGUACAAGCAACAGAACAGAGUACCAUUUCCACCAUUUCUCUUCUUUGUGGACUUUGUCUGCCAUCAAGCAACCACUAGGAAUGACCCUAGCUUUGACCUCACCACGUUCAACACGGCCCCGUCCAAAUCAGACAAGCCUUCCCCCAAACAAAGCAACCAGAGAGCACCUAUUUCAGUCCAUAAAACCGAGGUGUAUUAUCCCUCUAAUGCCGAGAGGACUGAAAAGAAGACCGAGGAGCCCGAUAGGCAGUGCCCCAUACAUAGGAAGCCUCACCCUCUGCAAAGAUGUCGCAGUUUUAGAGGGAAAUCUCUUGAAGACCGAAAGGCUUUUCUCAAAGACAACGGGAUAUGUUUCAGAUGUUGCGCAUCAACAUCACAUCUUGCCAGAAACUGCAAGGUCAGUGUGAAAUGCUCAGAGUGUGAGAGUGAAGGUCACAACACAGCUUUACAUCCUGGACCUCCGCCCUGGAUCGUUAAGACCACAGACCCUGCCAUAGAGCAUGGCGGGGAGGAACAAAGUGUUCCCGCGGACAUUGCAGCCCUGUGUACGAGCGUCUGUGGAGGAGACCUAAGUGGCAGGUCGUGCUCCAAGAUCUGUCUUGUUAAAGUCUUUAAAUCAAGUCGCCCAGACAGAGCAGUAAGCCUAUACGCUAUCCUCGACGACCAAAGUAACAGGUCAUUGGCUCGGCCAGAGUUCUUUGACCUCUUCAAGGAAGAAGGGCCCAGGUCGCCUUACUCCCUGAAGACAUGUGCAGGAGUGACAGAGACAGCUGGAAGACGGGCAAGUGAUUACCAAAUCAAAUCUCUGGAUGGUCAGUUGUGUCUACCUCUCCCUACACUCAUCGAAUGUAAUCAGAUCCCUAACAAUAGAUCAGAAAUCCCCACUCCAGAUUCUGCACUUCACCAUGCUCACCUUACAUCUGUAGCUCAUCAGAUUCCUGAACUCGACCACAAAGCUCCUAUCUUGCUUCUUCUAGGAAGGGACAUCAUAAGAGUGCACAAGGUUAGGGAACAGAUCAACGGGCCCCACGACGCGCCCUAUGCUCAGAGGCUCGACUUAGGGUGGGUCAUCGUUGGAGAUGUCUGUUUGGGAAACGUUCAUAAACCAUCCAUCGUGAACACCUUCUUUACAAGCACGCUAGAGAAUGGUCGCCCAUCUCUCUUUCAACCUUGUCCCAACCGGCUCCUCAUCAAAGAAAGAUACAGCGACUCUCUGUCAAAAGACCUCAUCGGGGGAUACUUCAGAGAUGAUACCGACUGUGACAAAGAGGAGAAUCACCUCGGGUGUACGGUAUUCCAAAGGACGAAAGACGAUAAUAAAACGUCUCUCUCGAUUGAAGACAAGGCCUUCCUAAAGAUAAUGGAACAAGGACUUCAGAAGGAUGAUGCUAACUACUGGGUAGCACCCCUCCCCUUCAAGUCACAGAGACGACGCCUUCCCAACAAUCGAGCACAAGCACUAAAACGUCUCUCUGCACUCAAGCGCAACUUCGGCAGGAAACCAGAAAUGAGAGACCAUUUCCUUUCAUUCAUGGAAAAAAUAUUCCAAAAUGACCAUGCGGAGAUUGCUCCUCCUCUGAAGGAAGAAGAAGAACGUUGGUACCUCCCAACCUUUGGCGUCUACCACCCGAAGAAACCAGGUCAGAUUCGGGUGGUAUUCGAUUCCAGCGCACAAUAUGAAGGGGUUUCGCUGAAUGAUGUACUUUUAACAGGUCCAGAUCUUAACAACACCCUUCUCGGAGUCCUGAUUCGUUUCAGAAAAGAGUCCAUUGCGGUUACAGCGGAUAUACAGCAAAUGUUUCACUCCUUUCUGGUCAGAGAGGAGGACAGGGACUUCUUGAGAUUCCUUUGGUUUGAGGAUAACGACCUUCACAAGGACAUCAUUGAAUACCGGAUGAAAGUGCACGUUUUUGGCAACAGCCCCUCUCCAGCUGUCGCUAUCUACGGCCUUAAACGUUCAGCGCAAGAUGGCGAGGCUGACUUUGGGUUGGAUGUCAAGCAGUUUAUAGACCGUGAUUUCUAUGUGGACGAUGGCUUGAAGUCACUGCCCUCUGAAGAAGCUGCCAUCAGCUUGCUCAAAAGAACACAAGAAACACUUGCCUGCUCGAACCUCAGGUUACAUAAAAUCGCAUCAAAUAGCAGCGAAGUAAUGAGAGCCUUUCCCUCCCAAGACUACGCAAACAACUUGAAGGAUCUGGAGCUUGGCACAGACACGUUGCCAACGCAACGUAGCCUUGGAAUCAUUUGGGAGCUUGAGACGGAUACGUUUACAUUUCAGGUUGUAGACGAAGAUAAGCCAUACACUCGUCGGGGUGUCCUGUCUACAGUUAACAGUCUAUACGACCCCCUGGGAUUUGUUGCCCCAGUUACCAUCCAAGGCAAAGCUAUCCUUCGUGAGCUCACCAUGGAAGUGGGCGACUGGGACUCCCCAUUACCUCCUGAUAAAGGGAAGCUGUGGACAGCAUGGAAAGACUCCCUGAAAGAUCUGGAAAGCCUCCAUAUCCCAAGAACAUAUGCACCAGUGUCCCUCUCUGAAGCUCAACGGCGAGUACUUUGUAUCUUCUGUGAUGCUUCUAUCAAAGCAAUAGCCGCAGUUGCCUAUAUCAAAGCCACAGAUGCUGACGGAGAACGCCACGUAGGGUUUGUUCUAGGUAAGGCAAAACUUGCUCCACGACCAGAACAUACAAUACCGAGAUUGGAGCUGUGUGCAGCAGUGUUGGCAGUGGAGUUAGCCGAGCUCGUCACCUCAGAAAUAAAUGUUGACCCGGAUGCCGUACAUUUCUACACGGACAGCAAGGUCGUGUUAGGCUACAUCUACAAUGAGACUAGACGGUUCUACGUCUACGUAAGCAAUAGAGUACAGCGCAUACGAAGAUCAACGCGGCCCGAACAGUGGCACUAUGUCCCCACCGAGCUCAACCCAGCAGAUUAUGCAACGAGAGCAGUCCCCGCAGCUCAAUUAAAGGACACCACAUGGCUGACAGGGCCAGCCUUUUUGACAAACCACGAACCUAGUCUUUCCAAGGAGGAUAUCUCUGAAGUUGCAGAUCCAAAAUUGGAUCCAGAAGUUCGACCUCAAGUGUCUACUCUGAGCACUGCUGCCUCAAACGCCCAGCUUGGAUCACGACGCUUCGAGAAGUUUUCAAGCUGGAGGUCAUUGACUCAUGCUGUUACUCGCUUGAUCCACGUGGCUCGACUCUUCAAGAAAACAUCAGCAUUAGGACCAAGUAAAUGCAAAGGCUGGCAUUACUGCCAGGCGGCAUGCACUGUGGAGGAGCUCUCUAAAUCCAAAGAUCUCAUUAUUCGUACAGUGCAGCAGGAAAACUAUGCCGCAGAGCUCGAAUGCUUGGAGAACCAGGAAGAAAUCCCAGAAAACAGCACUCUUAAGAAACUGGAUCCAUUCAUCGAUAGUAAUGGCUUAUUGAGAGUCGGAGGUCGGAUCACAGAGGCAGAAUUGGAAAUUGAUGAAAAGAACCCCCUAAUAAUUCCUGGUAACCACCACAUCACAAGGUUACUUGUGCGUCACCACCAUGAACAGACACGUCAUCAAGGGCGCCUUUUUACAGAGGGUGCUAUUCGCACUGCUGGCCUGUGGAUAGUUGGAAUGAGAAGACAAGUAAGCAGCGUCAUCUACAAGUGUGUCACAUGCCGCAAACUCCGUGGCACAUUCCUCUCCCAGAAAAUGGCCAAUUUACCUGCAGAUAGGCUAAGCAUCGAGCCUCCCUUCACGAAUGUUGGUUUGGACGUGUUUGGGCCCUGGUCCAUUCUCGCACGGAAAACAAGAGGUGGCCACUCUAACAACAAACGUUGGGCAGUGAUCUUUACCUGUCUGAGCAUAAGGGCAGUGCACUUUGAGGUCAUUGAGUCUUUGGAUACUUCAAGCUUUGUAAAUGCCCUCAGACGGUUCAUUUCCAUCCGCGGUCCAGUGAAACAUAUCCGCUCGGAUAGAGGCACCAAUUUCAUCGGGGCCUGUAAGGAGCUCAAGGUCCCAUCAAACAUAGAUAGUUUCCGUGUGACGAGGUACCUAGCUGAACAGGGCUGCACAUGGACAUUUAACCCACCUCACUCCUCUCACAUGGGCGGCGUAUGGGAGAGGAUGAUAGGCAUAGCCCGGAGAAUCAUGGAUUCCAUGUUCCAGCAAGAAAGAUCCUCAAAGCUCACUCACGAGACUCUCGCGACUCUUCUGGCAGAAGUAGCAGCCAUCAUAAACGCUAGACCCUUGGGUCCAAUAUCCGUUGAUCCUGCGGAUCCAAUGAUACUCACCCCUUCUACUCUUCUCACGCAGAAGGUGGGCCCUUUUCCUGCUCCUUCCGGUCAGUUUGACACUAAGGAUCUCUAUAAGCGGCACUGGCGUCAGGUUCAAGUCCUUGCAGAUGUUUUCUGGAACAAAUGGAGAAAGCAGUACCUUUCUACAUUGCAGACUCGAAGUAAAUGGCAUUCCAGCAAGCCAAACAUUGAUGCUGGAAGUAUUGUCCUUGUGAAAGACUCCCAAGCCGAAAGGAAUGAAUGGCCAAUGGCAUUGGUCACUAAGGUAUUCCCAAGCAAAGAUAGGAAGGUCCGCAGUGUGGAGAUCAAGAUCUCCAAACAAGAUGGAACCAAGCUCUUCCUUAGGCCUGUCACCGACUUAGUCCUCCUGCUCUCCGAAGAAGACUACAAGAGCCAGUAGUGACUUUCAAACACUGUUCUUCUGGAGUUAAGUGUAUGGGUGUUAUCCAUGGAUACCAGGCGGGGAGUGUUCUGUCCCCAUCAGCACAUUAGUUCACUUAAAUGUUUCAUUGCUGGCAGUAGUCGCUUUACAUGCGUCUGUUUCUUUAAGAACUGUGGGACUGUUGCACCAUGGGAUUUAGUCAGGAAGUUGAAUGUGAUCAGGACAGCCUCACGUUUUGCGUUAUCUCUCCAUACUGUACACGUCAAUCUUCCACGCUCCAUGCCUUUGGUAGCAUUCUCGUUUCACCCUUUCUAAUUCAAAUAAACGGAGUUAAGACGA